GGUUAGGGUUAAUUUCCAGAGGGAUGCAAACGGCAACCAGCCUCAAGGACAAGCCGUCAGAUGGAGAGCUGAGAUGCUUGAGAGUGAGAGAAGCAACCAUGGUUGCUAACGGUAACAGAACAUUGACAACCAAAGAAGCCAAUUUCUUCAUCUUCUUAGAUGAAAGCUAGGGUUUGAUUAGCUGCCGCUCGGAAAUUUCCAAAUGGAGAGCUUAGAUCUUUAUUUGUUGUUAUUGAUGUAGAUUUGUUUCUUUCCCUGUCUCUUUCUCCAUCUUCUUUGAUGAAGGCUAGAGUUUGAUUAGUUGUUCGGCGCAUUUUUAGAUGCUUGAGAGUGAGAGAAGCAAACAUGGUUGUUAACGGUGCCAGAACAUCGAUGACCAAAGAAGCCAACAUCCCUAGCGGUACCAGAACAUUGACGACCAAAGGAGACAACAUCCAGAUGACUUGAUAGCGGAAGUCCAUCUUAGAACGAAAAACUGGGCUUAAGUUAGGGUUGUCAGUCUCUGCUUGUGUUGAUACAAAUACAAUAAACUUCCCUAUUGGAACAACAUUGUGAGAAUAAGAACUACAAAACAGAUACCUACACAAGCAAUCACAUAUGCUUCAAAUGAGACAGUCUGCAAAUGAUGUUUGGAGAAAUAUUGUGAGAAUAAGAAGUGCAAAUCAGAUACCUGCACAAACAACCACAUAUGCUUCAAAUGAGACAAUCUUCAAGUGUUGUGACGACAAUAAUUACCUUGAAUCAUCUCUCAUUACAUAGAAGCUUAAGUUUUUCUUUGUUGUCGAUGAUAUAGAUUCAUUUAUUUUUACAAGUCUAUUCGGCAAUGUUAUUAGAAUGUUUAUCGGAUAUAAUUCAAUUUCAGGAUUGUUAGGCUUAUGUUGAUACAAAUGCAAUAAACUUGCACAAAAAGAUACCUUCACAAA